rnacentral:rRNA from 1 species
GUGGGGAAUAUUGGACAAUGGGCGCAAGCCUGAUCCAGCCAUGCCGCGUGUGUGAAGAAGGCCUUCGGGUUGUAAAGCACUUUUGUCCGGGAAGAAAUCUUCCAGGUUAAUACCCUGGGAGGCUGACGGUACCGGAAGAAUAAGCACCGGCUAACUUCGUGCCAGCAGCCGCGGUAAUACGAAGGGUGCAAGCGUUACUCGGAAUUACUGGGCGUAAAGCGUGCGUAGGUGGUUCGUUAAGUCUGCCGUGAAAGCCCCGGGCUCAACCUGGGAGUGGCGGUGGAUACUGGCGGGCUAGAGUGCGGUAGAGGGUGGUGGAAUGCCCGGUGUAGCAGUGAAAUGCGUAAAGAUCGGGAGGAACAUCUGUGGCGAAGGCGGCCACCUGGACCAGCACUGACACUGAGGCACGAAAGCGUGGGGAGCAAACAGGAUUAGAAACCCGUGUAGUCC